UACAGAGGUCUCAAGCGUUGUUCGGAUUCAUUGGGCGUAAAGGGUGCGUAGGUGGCGCCGUAAGUCAGGUGUGAAAUUUCGGAGCUUAACUCCGAACUGCAUUUGAUACUGCGGUGCUUGAGGACUGGAGAGGAGACUGGAAUUUACGGUGUAGCAGUGAAAUGCGUAGAGAUCGUAAGGAAGACCAGUGGCGAAGGCGGGUCUCUGGACAGUUCCUGACACUGAGGCACGAAGGCCAGGGGAGCAAACGGG
rnacentral:rRNA from 1 species